GUCGAACUACUCAAGUUUAAAGGAAAAGACUUCGAUUCCUGCAAAGAUAAAAGUCAACUAAUGUUGAUCGUAUUAAAUUAGCCUUUUGAAAAUACAGGCUAACAGUCCCAUACAUCCAUGUCAACCGAUUAAAUAUGAACGCUCAUUCAUUCUUUCCAAUAGUCAAAGUUUUUGCCGUCGAAAAUAGGUUCUCUAUUGUAAGCCCCUUUUAUCUCCUUAUUUGCCAUAUCAAUCAACUCUUCCGGUAGUUAACCGUUAGCGAAGAGACAAGGAUCUUGAUGCCACUUGUUGGUCUAUAUGGUGAAUAUGGAUACGUGCUAGAGGAAUGGGUGAAUAGUGUUUAA
rnacentral:lncRNA from 1 species